CCAAUCAGAGAACACCUUGUCCCUUGUCCCCUGCUGCAAGGACAGACAGGAGUUUUACUUGUCUCCAGCUGAUGGAGCCAGGCAAAGCAGGCACCAGCAACAAGAUCCUAGUGGCAACUUUGAAUUUAGAGCAUUCCAGGGGCAGCUGUGGCAUAAAUAAGAACACCUGCUGUAUUCUCCCAGCAAACACUGGGGCCAUGGUGUUUCUCCUCUAAUGACACCUCAUCAAUCCGCUCCUAUCAACGUCCCAGCCAUGGAGGUGACUUGGAGUGCUCAGAAGCUAUAGAAAAUGUCAACGUUUUGGGAGAAAAGUUGAGCAAAUGAGAGCGCUCACAGAUAUGGAUUUGCCAGCUGAAACGUGAAGGUGGCAUCUCGCAGCAGCAGGGUGGUGAACAGCCAAAUCAAGCAGGGGUGAAGGCAGCAUCUUUCACUGCAUGGCCCUUUCCAUAAUCCGCUUCUGGGUGGAACAUAAAGGCGCUUCCAGAGCAGACAAAUGAAGGAUACUUCAUGAUGAUGACCAUGAGGAAAACAUUACCAGUCCAUUAUGCAGCACUUCAG